rnacentral:rRNA from 1 species
UACGGGGGGGGCAAGCGUUGUUCGGAAUUACUGGGCGUAAAGGGCUCGUAGGUGGCCAACUAAGUCAGACGUGAAAUCCCUCAGCUUAACUGGGGAACUGCGUCUGAUACUGGAUGGCUUGAGUUUGGGAGAGGGAUGCGGAAUUCCAGGUGUAGCGGUGAAAUGCGUAGAUAUGUGGAGGAAUACCGAUGGCGAAGGCAGCCUCCUGGGCCAACACUGACGCUCAUGCACGAAAGCGUGGGGAGCAAACAGG